GACGAACGCUGGCGGCGUGCCUAAUACAUGCAAGUCGAGCGAACGGACGAGAAGCUUGCUUCUCUGAUGUUAGCGGCGGACGGGUGAGUAACACGUGGAUAACCUACCUAUAAGACUGGGAUAACUUCGGGAAACCGGAGCUAAUACCGGAUAAUAUUUUGAACCGCAUGGUUCAAAAGUGAAAGACGGUCUUGCUGUCACUUAUAGAUGGAUCCGCGCUGCAUUAGCUAGUUGGUAAGGUAACGGCUUACCAAGGCAACGAUGCAUAGCCGACCUGAGAGGGUGAUCGGCCACACUGGAACUGAGACACGGUCCAGACUCCUACGGGAGGCAGCAGUAGGGAAUCUUCCGCAAUGGGCGAAAGCCUGACGGAGCAACGCCGCGUGAGUGAUGAAGGUCUUCGGAUCGUAAAACUCUGUUAUUAGGGAAGAACAUAUGUGUAAGUAACUGUGCACAUCUUGACGGUACCUAAUCAGAAAGCCACGGCUAACUACGUGCCAGCAGCCGCGGUAAUACGUAGGUGGCAAGCGUUAUCCGGAAUUAUUGGGCGUAAAGCGCGCGUAGGCGGUUUUUUAAGUCUGAUGUGAAAGCCCACGGCUCAACCGUGGAGGGUCAUUGGAAACUGGAAAACUUGAGUGCAGAAGAGGAAAGUGGAAUUCCAUGUGUAGCGGUGAAAUGCGCAGAGAUAUGGAGGAACACCAGUGGCGAAGGCGACUUUCUGGUCUGUAACUGACGCUGAUGUGCGAAAGCGUGGGGAUCAAACAGGAUUAGAUACCCUGGUAGUCCACGCCGUAAACGAUGAGUGCUAAGUGUUAGGGGGUUUCCGCCCCUUAGUGCUGCAGCUAACGCAUUAAGCACUCCGCCUGGGGAGUACGACCGCAAGGUUGAAACUCAAAGGAAUUGACGGGGACCCGCACAAGCGGUGGAGCAUGUGGUUUAAUUCGAAGCAACGCGAAGAACCUUACCAAAUCUUGACAUCCUUUGACAACUCUAGAGAUAGAGCCUUCCCCUUCGGGGGACAAAGUGACAGGUGGUGCAUGGUUGUCGUCAGCUCGUGUCGUGAGAUGUUGGGUUAAGUCCCGCAACGAGCGCAACCCUUAAGCUUAGUUGCCAUCAUUAAGUUGGGCACUCUAAGUUGACUGCCGGUGACAAACCGGAGGAAGGUGGGGAUGACGUCAAAUCAUCAUGCCCCUUAUGAUUUGGGCUACACACGUGCUACAAUGGACAAUACAAAGGGCAGCGAAACCGCGAGGUCAAGCAAAUCCCAUAAAGUUGUUCUCAGUUCGGAUUGUAGUCUGCAACUCGACUACAUGAAGCUGGAAUCGCUAGUAAUCGUAGAUCAGCAUGCUACGGUGAAUACGUUCCCGGGUCU
rnacentral:rRNA from 1 species